AGUGAACGCUGGCGGUAGGCCUAACACAUGCAAGUCGAACGGCAGCACAGUAAGAGCUUGCUCUUACGGGUGGCGAGUGGCGGACGGGUGAGGAAUACAUCGGAAUCUACUUUUUCGUGGGGGAUAACGUAGGGAAACUUACGCUAAUACCGCAUACGACCUACGGGUGAAAGCAGGGGAUCUUCGGACCUUGCGCGAUUGAAUGAGCCGAUGUCGGAUUAGCUAGUUGGCGGGGUAAAGGCCCACCAAGGCGACGAUCCGUAGCUGGUCUGAGAGGAUGAUCAGCCACACUGGAACUGCGACACGGUCCAGACUCCUACGGGAGGCAGCAGUGGGGAAUAUUGGACAAUGGGCGCAAGCCUGAUCCAGCCAUACCGCGUGGGUGAAGAAGGCCUUCGGGUUGUAAAGCCCUUUUGUUGGGAAAGAAAAGCAGCAGGUUAAUACCCCGCUGUUCUGACGGUACCCAAAGAAUAAGCACCGGCUAACUUCGCG
rnacentral:rRNA from 1 species